UCCGGCUAUGGGAGCGGGUGGCGGCAGCACAGACAUGCAUUUCUACAAAAAACACCAGCGACUGCAUGGAGAACUGUGGCGUUUACCGGUACCGUCGACUUCGACUUAAUCCGCGGAGCUCCAAUAGACCGAAACAAACUCAAACUGGGGUCCAACUACCUCGCCUGAGCUUCACUUCCUCCGGAUAAGGUCGUCAGACAAAAGGAGUGCUUGUGGGAUGACGUCACUUCCGGGGUUUUGAUGGACUGUUUAUUCGAAACGGAAUGUUACAGCAUUGGCUUUUUUCUUUUACAUUUGCCUAACAGUGAAGACAAUUUUGUGUCACUUUACCUUUAAUGGGACUUCUUUAGCGUAUUUUAAUUAUUUAUUUGCAGAUAUAAAACAUUUGCCUGUGAAGCUUCUGCUUCCUUGUUUAUGAAAUGCAUUGUUUUUUCUUAAGGCAGCUCAAUGUAAAUGUAUUUUUCUAAAUUUUAAAAGUUUUUUUUUAAGUAUUAAAAUUAGCAGACUAAGAAAACUUAAAAAAUAUCCAACUGGUGUCAAGGAAAAUAUGUUUGAUGUUACCAAUGACAAAAACUAAAGAAUAAUAAAAAUCACAUACAUAUUAAGAAAAAAAUAAUAGAUUAGAAUAGUUACAUAUAUUUAAAAUAUUAAUUAAAACAAUAUUAAGAAACCUUAAACAUGACAUAGCAUGACAUUAACACUUUUGUGAAAAAACAAAUAGAAAAAAGAUAAUCUUUUACCAUCUUUCUUUUUAACAUUUGUAAAAUGAAUUAAACUUGAUUAAUUUAACACAGGAGAAUAUCCCCCAUUAAUAAAAGAAAUGAUAAUAAGUUAGUAUUUUUGCAGUUUUUUAAAUGUAUGUUUUCAUCUGUUAAAAUAGUUUCUUCUAUUAUUUUCUCCUGCUCCCAGAGUUUGGUAAUCAUUAAUUCCAUUAUUUAAAUUUCAGUCGACAUUAGAAAUCAGAGAAUCAAUGGAAAUAAUCACAGCCAUGAUGUUUAUUUAGUCUUCCAUUAAACUAAAGUUUUAUGCAGCCAUUUUGACCCGUCUUUGGAUAUUCUUCCCCUUUUUGUUGUUGUACUUGGAAUCAUCUUAGUAUAAAAAAGUCAACAAUAAGUCAAGUAAAGUGCAAAAACAUGUGUUUUAAUUAUAAAGACAUAGUUCUGUGGAUACAUUUUAUAUGGUGGAGAAAAAAUGGAAGAGUUAAUCUUUCUUUUUUCAUUAAUCAACUUAUUGCAGUGAAUGAACAAAAUAAAUCUAAAUCAAAUCAGUUUGUGGUGUGAUCAUCCUUUGUCCUUAAAACAGCAUAAUUUCUUGUAGGUACACCUUUUCUUUGGUAACUUAGCUGAAAAUUGUCCCAAACAUCAUUGAACUAACCUCAGAUUUUCAGUGGAUGUUGGCUUUCUCACAUCCUUCUGAAUCUUCAUGUAAUCCCAGACAUACUCCAUGAUUAUCUGAUCAGACUCCCUCCGAUGAAAAUCCUGAUUCUAAAGUCUCAAGAUGUUCUUGUAGCACUUUUCUCAUGAUACAGAACAUAUAUAAAGAAAAUUAAACUGUAUUUAUUUAUUUAUUCCUUCCAUGAAGCAUAAGGAACACCAAAAACAGAAAUUGAAGCUUAAAAUUCAAUUUCUAUGUAUUCAGUUUCAAUUAUUGUAUUUAUUGCAUCGGAUGCAAUGCAUCUAUUUGCAGACAAAUAGGCUGUGUCCCAACUCUCUUCCCACCCCUUAACUACUGAAAAACUGCAAAGAGCUUGUUUAUCUAGUGCCCUGGAUUUCUAGAAAGCAAUUUGGACACAAUCCUCAAUAUAUUUUCUUUUUGCCAGCAAUUGUAAGCAACUAUGACAUCACCAAUUUCCCAAAGUUAAAACCUCAUCACUAUGAACUUGAAGACUAUUUAUGACUCCACUGUGUUCUGAAGAUGAAAAAAAUGAUGCUUUUUAAAGAAUAAAUUCCAAUGUUUUUGUUUCCAUAUUAAAAGUCACAAUGCAUUGUGGUCUAAAUUCACGAAUCUAGUGAGCAAUCUGUUUUUUGCAGAGACUUUUGGGAAAUUUCUAGGGCUCCGGAUAUUGGAAUUGUAAAUUACAAUAUCUCUACAGCUCUACAAAUUUGUGAAUGCCAUAAAAAGUCUACUUGAUAAUAUAUUCUAGUAAAGGAAUUCAAACACAACCUUCACUUUCCUUGUGUUCACUGGGAUCUGGCUGGAAGGCAAAAAAAAAAAAAUCAAAGAAAGUGGCACAGAUUUGUUGAUUUUGGCCAAAAUAGCAUAAUUAUAAUUAAAAGAUAACUGGGAAUGCUUUUACAAUAGAUAAAAAGAGGAUUGGAGUGGCCAUCAUUUGCAUUACUUCUUAUUCUUUUUGUGCUAAAGAUAGUUUUUAAUGACUUUGGCUGUUUGUAUGGGUGUGUUGUCCUCCUGCAGAAUGAAUUUGGGGCUAAUCAUAUGCUUACCUGGUAGUAUUGCAUGAUGGAUGAGUGUUUUUCAGCAUUGAGAACACCAUUAAUCCUGACCAAAUCUCCUACUCCAUUUGCAGAAGUGCAGCCCCAAACGUUCAAACCCUCACCACGGUUCCAGUUCACCUGCAGACACUCAUUACUGUGGUGCUCUCCUGCCUUUUGACAAACUUCCUUCUGCUACAGCCAAGCAUUUCAAAUUUGACUCAUCGUUCCAGAAUAGCUGCUGCUGUUUUUUCUGCUCCCCAGUUCUUAUGAUUUUGUGCUUGGCCAUGUUUUUUGUUGAUGCACUCUAUCUCUCCAUGACAUGAAACUACAGUAUUCUCCACAACCUCAUCUUGGUAGUAGAGUUUCUUUUGUUUGCUCACUUAGAUUUAUAUAAAAAAAUAUUAUUUAUACUUCCGAAAGCAUACUUUACAGGUUUUUCCAAACUAGUCCAAAACUUUUUCACAGUUCAGUACAUAACUGCUAACCUUGAUAAAGAAAUAGUCAGAAUCAAACCUCAAUUUGAUCAUUUUUUCUUCUCUUCAUUGAAUCAUAUUAGCAUAUUACAAAUAAAUAAGCCGUAUCUACAUUUGACAUUAAUAUCAUGUAAUGUUGAAACAACAGCAGAAGAAUGCAAACAAAAAUGAUACGGAUGAGAAAAGUUCACUUUGAAAAUAUAAUUUAAAAGAAAAGAAGACAAGAUAAAAAAAAAAGAAAAA